UCUCAUCGCUCUUUGUUUUACCCGGCGCUUCUCCCCGUUCUCUUUCUCUUCCCCGUUCAAUCAAAAGUUAUUUUUCUUAUUUGUUUUUAGAGGAUAUUAGUUUAUGGUAGGUUGUGUGAUUUUUGUCCACAUAGGAUUUGAUUUUGCAGGUGAUGACAUGUAUCAGCAAUGAUGGAGGAAAUCACCAGGAGAGCAAAACAUAAUUAAUAGAAGGGAAUAUCUAAAAUAGAUACCGAUUCCAUGGCGUUUCUUUUUGUUCGCAAUAAUCAUGGUCUUUAGAUCAUGUUCUUUAGUUGUUUUAUUUUCCAGAUAAAGGUCUACCAGUUUGAAACGGGGAGGUCUUUUAACAAUACCAGGCUAGCGUCAAGUUUGUUGUGUAUGCAGAGAAGGGUGUCAAUAAUUGCUGACGAAGGUUAAAUUGGUGGCAAAGGGUAGAGUGACACUUAUUAUGGACAUAUAUAAGCUUUGAUGAUGAGGAGGUUAAAGAAAAACAAGGUAAACGGUUUAUGGCUAAUGAUCAUGGCACCGCCCUAUAGGGUGGCUGCAUGUUAAGAUGAUAUUCAUGGAAAACGGAAAGAGUCAGAGGUCCAGCAGGUAUAUGAAGUGAAAUUAGUAGCAAUGGUGAUAUUGAUACUUAAUAUAUAAAUUACCGUGUACAAGUGUCGAAUUCCUAUUCGUCCCCCAUGAUCAGUAUUUGCCCCCAUCAAAAAUUUACUCAAGAGAAGGUAUAUUUGUUACUGAAACUGAGGUUAAGUAAGGAACUCCUAAGUAAUUUCAAUAUUUUGGAAGACUAUAAUUAUUAUGUUUACAUUAGACUGUUGAUAUUUUUGUAGUGAUAGUUUGAAAUAAAAGCAGAAUGUUUGCUAAGAAGACGGGGAAGACAAAGAAGACAAUGAAGAAAAGGUUAGUUGUAGAUCAUAAAAAUUUGAAUAUUAACGCCUUUUAGAUUGCGAAUAUAGAAAAUAUGUUGAGCAUUACUGAUCUUCAAGAUAUAAUUACUUCAAGGGAAUGUUUCGACCCAGUUUAAAGAGGAGUUUAAUUAGUGGUCUCAUGUAGUAGUUCAAGUUGCUGACCCUUAGGAUUCCAUGGUGCAUUAAGUUGAUACCUAAGAGUAGAACUAGGCUAUCCCUGGUUUAUACUUUACAAAUUGGGAAACUGUUGUAUACUUUUUCUUACUGGCUAAUUUAUAUUUUUCUGUCUU